rnacentral:rRNA from 1 species
UGAGGAACAUGACCUUCGGCGGGGGAUAGCCGGCCCAACGGCCGGGUAAUACCGCGUACGACCACU